CCUAAUCCACCACUCCCAGCUCAUUUCCACCCCGCGCCGCUGCUCCCAGCACGCACCCAAGCGCUGCCGCCGGCCGGGGCAUACUCCGACGACGCAGGCCACAUCGACCUUCGCCCACACCGCUAGCUCCUUCGCGUUGGAGCCUCCAAGCCGGCGUCGCUGCCACCUCGCACCAAGGCCUCCCAUCUCUGAUGGCUCCCACACUUCAGGUCCAUAGGGACCCGGGACAUGACGAUGGAGCAUGCAUGGCAAUGGCCACAGCAAGGCACAGCAUAUCUAUGGUAUGAAUCUCCUAGGUAUGAAUCUCAAAUAGGACACCAGAUUGGCUAGAUUUAUCCCUGGUAGAAACAGCGCCGGUGGCAGUGGCUCGAGGUACCCAUGCAACGAAGUGCCCUUCAGCAUUGUAUAGGACAUGUGUAAGAUUGUUAACUCCAAUCUCAAUUCAGAAAUCUUAACUGCAUGCAGGACAUACAUUUCUUGGAUUAACUCAGUUAAGUAUAUUGCGGCUGUUCAGUUCUUUAGCUUCUUUGGCUUGCAUUUUGGCAGAUUGUGGGUACUGUGUCAUGACAAUACCUGAACAUGUUCAUGAGCAGGAGGUGGAAUUGUCCAGUAUGACCUGCUUGUACAUUGUGGUAGUGGAGGCAGAUCAGAGCGAUGAUUUAUUAGGCUGGAUAGGUUGGACAUUAUCAGUCCUAGUUUCAAAGUUGUGUUGGCGAUGCAUGAUUAGUCAUUUAAUUUCUCCAGUACAAGGAAAAGGAGUUAAGCUGCACCUUUGUUAGGGGCCUCAUUGCAAAGCUAGAUAUUCUACCUAGAUUGAUGUAGUUUAUGAUUGCUGCUACUCUCACUUUGGUGCUGUUUGAGUGAUAGUGCAUCUGGAACACAAUAUUAGUUUAGCCAAACAUGUAACCAGUGACAAGUCAAAGCUUCAUUUGAAAAUGUUUUUAUUUCAAUGACUUGCUGCAUAUUCAGAUGUUCACUGUUUACUUGUUUUUGUGUGUCCUUCAGUGACAUACAUUUCUAUGAUUGUGGCUAAACAAAUUAGUGAUAUUUCUUUAAUCUUGUGAUGAUACCUAGAUACAACUAUGACUAAACUAAUCUGUGACUUCAUUUCAUGGUCUUAUAGGAAUCUAAGUUUGGACCCGAGAAGGCUAGCACUUUGAACAUGUAUGCUAUAAUGAAGUCUGGAUUCAAAGAAGUGGACAAUUCUCAGCCGUAGACCACAAAACCAUCUUGUAGUGGACAAUUUAGAUCUAUAUAGGUGCUAGGACUUAUGUACGUUAGCUAUGACUGAGAUAUUCUUUCCUUUUAGCGUAAUGGUUGAACAUUUUUUAAUCUGAUUGGAGUGUAGUUGUUGGACACUUUAAUUUGUAAUAUGUUUCAACUAAAUUAGUUGAAUAUAUUUAUGUAUUGGAUUUUGAUUGUAUUUAUGCUGGAUUGACAUGUCAUCAUUGUGUCAAUUGAGUUUAGUUACCAGAA